rnacentral:rRNA from 1 species
GCAUAUCAAUAAGCGGAGGAAAAGAAACUAACAAGGAUUCCCCUAGUAACUGCGAGUGAAGCGGGAAAAGCUCAAAUUUAAAAUCUGGCAGUCUUUGGCUGUCCGAGUUGUAAUCUGGAGAAGCGUUUUCCGCGCUGGACCGUGUACAAGUCUCUUGGAAUAGAGCGUCAUAGAGGGUGAGAAUCCCGUCUUUGACACGGACUACCAGUGCUUUGUGAUACGCUCUCAAAGAGUCGAGUUGUUUGGGAAUGCAGCUCAAAAUGGGUGGUAAAUUCCAUCUAAAGCUAAAUAUUGGCGAGAGACCGAUAGCGAACAAGUACCGUGAGGGAAAGAUGAAAAGCACUUUGGAAAGAGAGUUAAACAGUACGUGAAAUUGCUGAAAGGGAAGCGUUUGAAGUCAGUCGCGUUGUUCAGAACUCAACCUGGUUUUACUUGGUGCACUUUCUGGAUGACGGGCCAACAUCAGUUUUGACUGUCGGAAAAAAGCCUUUGGAAUGUGGCACCUCCGGGUGUGUUAUAGCCUUUGGUUGUAUACGAUGGUUGGGACUGAGGACCGCAGCACGCCUUUUGGCCGGGGUUCGCCCACGUACGUGCUUAGGAUGUUGGCGUAAUGGCUUUAAACGACCCGUCUUGAAACACGGACC